CUGUAGUUCCUGAAAUGACCACCUUAGGCAGCUGCAAUAGCAAGUCAAGCCUCAUAGUCCCCAGUGUCAAAAUGUCCAACUUUACGAAAGAAGUAAACAUGUUUAGAGCCUGGUACAAAUAACGGUUUUGGUCUCCAUAGCUAAUAUUUCUGUUCAAGACCACUGUACAGAUGUUGUUUUUUUUUAUUUUUUUAUUUUUUGCAUGAUAUAGCAAUUUAAGUUGUGUUCUUGCAUUACCUGCUGUCAGUGAUAAGGACACCAUUAUUUGGUUGUUACUGGGAGAAAAAAAAUCACCAGAAUUUGUGUUUUGCAUCUCUGGGCUAGCAAAGACUGUACAUAUUUUCUUCAUAUUUCAAAUGGGCAUCAAGUAAAUGUGCUCACAUUUUCAGAAACAGAGUUUAAGCUUCAAUCUAAGACCUUUUCUCAAUUGAAAGAAAAAAACAAUGUUGGUUAGGUGGCACUAUGUUGCAAAGAUUAAUACAGAUUCCCCCUAGAUGUUUAUUUAUUCCAACACCUGCUGAAUUAUUGUGAGCUCCUGCACAUUUGCUGUUUAUCCUGCAUCCUAGAAAGGAAAUGUGCCUAAUUAACAAAUGAGCUGCGUCUCUUUCAUGUAAUGAAAAAUGAUCAAAAUACCAAAACUUACAUCAACAAAUUUUAACCUGCUGAUAAUUUAAUGGCAUAUAGGGGCUUAAGGACUAAACAGUAAUGAUGUGAUUGACUUUCUUAAAGGCUGUUGGAAUUUAAGUGAUAAAAAGAACUGUUGCCAGUGCUGAUAAUGUGCAUAUCAAAGAUUAACAGCCCCUCUUUCUGGUGAUUACAAUUUUAGCCAAAUAAGUACACGCCAAACAAAAUCUGGAAAGGUCUAUUGUAUUCCUUGGAGUGCCACUUGGUUUUUCAGUGUUAGAUGGGUGGACGCCUGCACUUGACCUGCGUUUCUUCGUCUUCGGGGGUGUUCAACAGGAGUGACACAGUGCUUCACUUCACAUCCACUUCACCUGCCUGGUAAGAGAACCUUGCCUGGAUCCAAGAUGGCACCAGCGUGACCACUACUGACUUCCGAUAUGUCCGUCUUUCAGUCAAGUGUUUGAAGUAGAGAUUUUGGAAUAGCUGUAAAUGAGUGUUCUUGCUUUGGCCACUGCUCUUACUUAACGUGCGUUAGGAAGCAACGCUGAGGUUUUUGGACGUCCUCCUCGGCUGACCUGAGCUUCACUUCCAGGUCAGUGGCUUCUGCAGGUCCUCGGCUCUCCCAACAAUGUCUCCCUUACAGAGGAGGGAAGAACUGGCGCUUCAGCAAGUCCCUCUGGAGGCUCUUCAAAACACCGUUACCAUGGACAC
ensembl:lncRNA